AUUAAAGCCGCCGAGCUUACUUUAAACUUUUCACGUUUCCGCUUUCAGACAAAGUUUACAUACUGUCUAAAACUGCUCAGAUUUUCCGUUUGAAAUGUUUCGCGCGUAGUUAUCGACAGUCGAAUCGAGAUACUGCGCGCUGCAUACAUGCGCUACCUUCAGGCCACAGUUCAAACUUCUAAACAGUUUCAAACCGUCGCGCGACGAUCCGUGCGACAGUUGACUGUGCUGAAGAUGCUUCACAUUGUUUUUCUUUCUCGCUACUCCUGCACAAUUCUGCCAUUCUUCGCAUUUCCUACUGAUGAGCUCAGUUCCAGAAGAACGCUCCAUGGCGCCCGAUGAAAUGAUGUGAAAACGUUUUUAUAUCCAAAUUCUUUUAUAUUUUGAUUUUACGAAAAGCACAUUUUCACACGAGGCAUAAAGAGAUACAAAGAUACGAUAACAUCGAAUGGCGGCAAAAAUUUGCUCUCGACGAGGCAACAUGUUUUGAUCCCGGACGCUGAUCUCUAAUCAUGUCCGAAGUCGCCUCAGAAUCGGACAUUGAAUUGGAAAAUGUUUUCCAGCAAAUAUUUAUGGAAUGCGACGCCUCUCUUUCAACAUCGAUAACUUACUCGACGCUGUCCCUAGGCGACGAAGUGCCGAUCUCCAGGAUUGUCCAAUACGUCCAGGAACAAUUACCAAUUUGGUCGGUCAAACACAUGUUAGAAUUGUGGAAGUGUCUGAGUAACGUUUCAACGAAUGAUCGUGUGAAUUUGCGACAAUUCAAGGAGGCGACGAAAUGCUGGAUCGCCAAGGUGCUACGGACUCAGACGCAGGACGACAACAACAAUUUUGAGAGAGAACUGUACAAAAAUACAAACGACGCGACAAUGGACUCGAUGAAAACGGACAUAGAUAAAGAUAUCACGGGGGUCGAGCUCCGUAUGAGAGUUCGAAAAUUCGAUGAGGAGAACAUUCUCCUGCGGGAGGAGCUCGCACGGGCCGAGGAGUUGAUCACGAAUCUUGAGCGACAAUGCAACAAUCUGGAGAAUCAGUUGGAUCGUUAUACGAAAAAAUGUCAACAACUUGAAAAGGAGAACGACGAGCAGAAAGACAAAUUAGACGAGAUGAUAAAGAAUGAAAAGAGCUAUAUUUCCGCGUAUCAAAGAUCUAUGAAACAAUAUGACAGCUUGUCAAAGCAAUUGGAAACCGCAGAGAUUGAGAUGCAAGCCAUACAACCUUUAAAAGAAGAGAUGGAGAAGAUCAGUAAGGAAAAAAAGGAUUGCAUAAAACAAGUCGCCAGGUUGCAGGAGGAGUUUUGUGAAAAAGAAGAGGAAUGUGAGAAGCUGAAAGUCAUGAUGACUGAGUUGCAAGAUACAAUCAGCAAUAUGAAGGAAACGUACGAAUAUACUAUUCGUAAUCUGCGCGACAAGAACCAUCAACUAAUGGACGAAAAUAUGGAAUUGCAGUCAUGGUCGGCGGUUCAGGGAGAAAGAUCACUCUCACCAAUUCCGGACGCAGACGGAUGUCAUCUACACAGCACACCUUACAAAUUAGAAAAAAUAAUGCUAGAAAAUUCACUGUACGCUGAGUUAAGAGCUUCCGGCUUCACAGCUGAGUGCAGCAGCAAAAACUCGUGUAGGCAAGAAUUGGAAGAUGAACUGGAUUAUUAUGACACGGUGAUUUCCACGAUAUUGGAGCAGCUGGAAAAAGUUUUAAAAACUCUCGUCACGACGACGGACUCGAUCGACGCACCCCAGCCUGACUUGCUGCAUACGGAGAACACGAGAGUAUACAACAUCGAGACCUUGAAACACAAAGUGGCUCUCCUGCUGAAUACUGUGACCGAAAAAAUCGCGAGAAGUAGGAACACCAAAGAUUCAAGCACACAGCUAUGUGCCGACUGCUCAGACGCGAUCGGGACCUCGCAACAAUUUGGCAUUACGAGCUUCCGGGCUCAGCUGACACGCGCUUGUCAGUGUCCGAAACCGGAGACGGAUCUGCGGUUGACAGCUUCACAGGACGUGAGCGAUAACAAAGACGAUCCGUUCCUGAAAGUUAUACAAGCGAGCACGAGCGUCCUAGAUCAUAAUAUUUUCGAAGUCAUCGAUCCCCUCGUCGAGGAAUUGGACAGGAUCAUCGAGGAAACCAUUAAUUCGCCCGUUGUGUACAAAGAUCUUCCUGCAUCUGGGAAUCCAAGGUUCAGAUCGAUGUACACAUUGCCAUCGCACCCGCGAGCAUCGUCGUCAAGCCCAGAAGACAUAAGGCGAGCACCUGGUCAAAGUUCGAGGAAGAAUUCUUUCGAUGCCAACCUCGCGAGCGGCGACGGUCUGACGUGGACGGAAAGCAGCGGUGAAAAAUCCGCAGAAUUCGGUGCGGGAUCAACGUGCGACGCUUCCGGCCGAGAGAGUCCGACUCACACCGCGGCGAGUCGACCGAGCGAAAUGCCAAAAGUAUCGAGUGCCUUGCGAAUGGAUUCGAAAGCACUGCUUACUUUGGCGGAGACGAGUGCCAAGAACUUUCAAGCGCCGGAAAUGACUGUGACGAGUCCGCGAACGAGUUCACUGACUAGUCCUCGCAGGAAGCUCUCGGUCUAUCAUCGGUCGUUCGACGUAGUGGAGGUGCGGGAUACGCGCGAGGACGAUCAAGGACCGUGCCUGGAGGUGAGGCGAUCGCUAAGCGCUUCUUCCGUACGGGACAACGCGAAGAAUGAGUUGUCCGGUAACGAGACGACGGACGAUUGCGACCAAAACGAUGCAUCUACAUAUUUCUUUAGUCAACCUUACCGCAACAUAAAGCAUGACAGUGAUUCCUCGAAUAACUGCUCGCCACAGAAGCAUUUCUGGGAUGGUGACCCAACGGACGAUGAGCCGAGUCCGAUCGUACAACCGAUACCGAGAAAGGUUUAUUUAGCGCCCACGCGACUGAAGCUUCUUCUGCAGGAAGUCGAGAACUCGGGCGAAACCUCUAACACCUCCGACGCGAAGAAGAAGAAGAAGGAAAACACGAGAGACUGUGCUUCCUCUGCCACGAAUUCCCCCGAAUCGGACGUGCCGAGCUCCUGCUCCACAGUCGUUGGUGACUCUCCUGUCCAUUUGUCUUCGACAUCACUCAUUACAGACAAAUACGAAACAGUGGUCGAUGCGCCAGCACUCGAGUCUAACUCGCGUCCUCUGAGCGAAACACUUUCCCAGGGCCAUUUGACGUCAGCUCGCUCGAUUCCGCAUAAUCGAAUCGAUUCAACGGAGAUCGCGAAUCCAGAAAGUCCCCACUCUCGAACAAGCGUGCGGAGAGUCAACGACGAUCAGCCGCGCGUCGAGCGGUCAGUCGAUGGCCAAAUGUCGAGUCGCGAAAACACCUCGGCCGGCAAAGACAGCGAGUGCGAAACGGCGAAACCUGGUGACCGGUGCGUCGACGAGGGAAGAACGACGAUGGGCGCAAACAAGGCCGACCAAACCGAUGACGAUGUUGCCGUGCUGCCAUUGAUCGGCGACUCGCCGACGAAAAAGGAGAUACCAUGCGAGUACGUGAUGCAGAACGACGCGAUGGCACGCGACAGAAACCUGUUGGACGCGAAACAGGAGAGAUGGCAGCAGCGACGUUUUACGAUGAGGAGAUCGUUUUCGGAAGGUGACAGCGACGGUCGAGCGCUGUGCCGUUGUAGGCAACACGGUCGGUCUCAGCCUCUGAUCGAAGCAGAUGAUCGGCUCAGAUCCUUCCCGAGUCUCACGAGCACUCGUCUGCAGGAAUCUGGAAUAGUCAACUUACCAGAUAUGGAGAUAAUCAGCAGGGAGAAUCUGAGCGAGUUCGAGCUGCAGAAGAGGUACACCGCGUUCUCCCUGUGCCUGUGCACAGACCGGGUGACUCUGCCGCGCAGAAUGGAGCUGUCGCUCCGCCAACGCGACCAAUCGGAGAAGAAUCUCGCCUGCGAGGUGCAGAAGAUGCAGCAGGACAUUCAGGGAAUCCGUGGAGAAGGUGGAGCGUAUCAGGCACCAGCUGGACAUGGUCGCGCGGUGCGCGCACCGAGUGUCCUGCGCGGCCGAGACUCUGGGCGCCGUGCACCAGGAACAUAGGGUUUCCAAGGCUGUUUUCGUGGCCGACAGAUAUCUCCAGCUGCUGCAGUCCAGAUGCGAGAAGUUGGCUGCCAAUGUCGCCGAGACCAAGAUACCGUGAGGCAACGAAAUUCCGUUUCCGGACGCGUAACUCUGAGGAGAACGUCUCUCAACUACGAAUCUUCCAAGUGGGAAAACGAGAGACUGGGCCG
rnacentral:misc_RNA from 1 species